rnacentral:rRNA from 1 species
AUAGUUUAAUUUUUAUUUAUCUUUUAUUUACUUUUUAUAGAAGUAACUUAAAUAUUUAGUAUUUUUUAUUGAAAUAUUUAUAAUUAUUAUAGUUUAAUGUACUGUAGAGGAAUAAAUUAAAUUUAUUAAAAUUAUUUUAUAUUAAAGUACCUUUUGUAUCAGGGUUUAUUAAAAUUGGUUUAAUAAUAUUAAAUUUCUCGAAAUUAAAAGAGUUAAAUUAAAAUGUUAGUUUAUGUAAUAUAAUGAUUAAUAAUUUUAAUUUAGGGGUUAUAUACUAUUCAAUUUUAAAUAUCUAGUUUUUUAAUAAAUGAAUUUAAUUCAGGUUUAUAUUGAUUGAAAUUUUAUUUUAUUAAUUACAAUGAUAUAAUCUAAGAAUAGAGGGGAUUAGCUCUCUAUUUAAGAAUAUAAUUUAAAAUAUUAAUGAGUUUAGUAAGAUUAAAAAUUUCUAUCUAUUAAUUUCAUUAUAGUUUUUCUCAUAUUAUUAUUUAUUUACAUUUUAUUUAUUAUUUUAUUAAAAUUAUUUAUUUAACUAUUAAUUAAAUGUAAUAAUGAUAAAAUUAGUAGUUUAACAAUUUAAAAUAUAGUAAUUCGGCAAUAUUAAUAUUCGCCUGUUUAACAAAAACAUGUCCUGUAGAUUCAAUUAUAGGUUUAACCUGCUCAAUGAUAAUUUAAAUAGCUGCAGUAUCUUAACUGUACAAAGGUAGCAUAAUAAUUUGUCUUUUAAUUAGAGGCUGGUAUGAAUGGUUGGACGAAAUAUUAACUUUCUUUAUUUUAGAUUUAUUGAAUUUAAUUUUUAGGUAAAAAAGCUUAAAUUUUCUUGUAAGACGAGAAGACCCUAUAGAAUUUUAUUUUAUUUUAUUUACUUAAUUUUAUUUAUUAUUAUUUAUUUAAGUUAAGAUUUGAUUGGGGUGAUUAUGAAAUUAAAAUAACUUUCAUUAAAAUUAUUCAUUUAUUAAUGUAUUUAAUGAUCCAAUAUUAUUGAUUAAAAGAUUAAAUUACCUUAGGGAUAACAGCGUAAUUCUUUUGGAGAGUUCAAAUUGAUAAUAGAGUUUGCGACCUCGAUGUUGGAUUAAAAUUAAUUAUGGAUGCAGAUGUUUAUAUAUUAGGUCUGUUCGACCUUUAAAAUUUUACAUGAUCUGAGUUCAGACCGGCGUGAGCCAGGUUGGUUUCUAUCUACAGAAGUAUAUAAUAAUAUAGUACGAAAGGACCUAUUAUUGUUAAUAUUUAUUUUAUUUAUGAUUUAUAUU